rnacentral:tRNA from 1 species
GGCCUGUUGGUCUAGUACUCUAGGGGUAUGAUUCCUGCUUUGGGUGCAGGAGGUCUCGGGUUCAAAUCCCGGACAGGCCC